rnacentral:rRNA from 1 species
GACGAACGCUGGCGGCGUGCCUAACACAUGCAAGUCGAGCGAAGUGAGUACUACGGUACGAACUUAGCGGCGGACGGGUGAGUAACGCGUGGACAAUCUACCCUGCAGACUGGGAUAACACCUCGAAAGGGGUGCUAAUACCGGAUAAUGUCGAGAAGCGGCAUCGCUUUUCGAAGAAAGGAGAGAAUCCGCUAUAGGAGGAGUCCGCGUCCCAUUAGCGAGUUGGUGAGGGUAACGGCCCACCAAGGCGACGAUGGGUAGCCGGCCUGAGAGGGUGAACGGCCACACUGGAACUGAGACACGGUCCAGACUCCUACGGGAGGCAGCAGUGGGGAAUAUUGUGCAAUGGGGGAAACCCUGACACAGCAACGCCGCGUGAGCGAAGAAGGCCUUCGGGUUGUAAAGCUCAACAGUAUGGAAGAUAAUGACGGUACCAUACGAAAGCCCCGGCUAACUACGUGCCAGCAGCCGCCGUAAGAC